GAUCCAGCCAUGCCGCGUGAGUGAAGAAGGCCUUAGGGUUGUAAAGCUCUUUUGCCAGGGACGAUAAUGACGGUACCUGGAGAAUAAGCCCCGGCAAACUUCGUGCCAGCAGCCGCGGUAAUACGAAGGGGGCUAGCGUUGUUCGGAUUUACUGGGCGUAAAGCGCACGUAGGCGGAUUGUUAAGUCAGGGGUGAAAUCC
rnacentral:rRNA from 1 species